rnacentral:piRNA from 1 species
AGGGGCUGGAGAAAUGGCUCAGAGGUUAAG